rnacentral:rRNA from 1 species
AUUGAACGCUGGCGGCAGGCCUAACACAUGCAAGUCGAGCGGAUGAAGGGAGCCUGCUCCUGGAUUCAGCGGCGGACGGGUGAGUAAUGCCUAGGAAUCUGCCUGGUAGUGGGGGAUAACGUCCGGAAACGGGCGCUAAUACCGCAUACGUCCUGAGGGAGAAAGUGGGGGAUCUUCGGACCUCACGCUAUCAGAUGAGCCUAGGUCGGAUUAGCUAGUUGGUGGGGUAAAGGCCUACCAAGGCGACGAUCCGUAACUGGUCUGAGAGGAUGAUCAGUCACACUGGAACUGAGACACGGUCCAGACUCCUACGGGAGGCAGCAGCGGGGAAUAUUGGACAAUGGGCGAAAGCCUGAUCCAGCCAUGCCGCGUGUGUGAAGAAGGUCUUCGGAUUGUAAAGCACUUUAAGUUGGGAGGAAGGGCAGUAAGUUAAUACCUUGCUGUUUUGACGUUACCAACAGAAUAAGCACCGGCUAACUUCGUG